rnacentral:rRNA from 1 species
UACGUAGGAGGCGAGCGUUGUCCGGAAUUACUGGGCGUAAAGAGCUCGUAGGCGGUCUGUCACGUCGGCUGUGAAAACCCGAGGCUCAACCUCGGGCCUGCAGUCGAUACGGGCAGACUAGAGUUCGGUAGGGGAGACUGGAAUUCCUGGUGUAGCGGUGAAAUGCGCAGAUAUCAGGAGGAACACCGGUGGCGAAGGCGGGUCUCUGGGCCGAAACUGACGCUGAGGAGCGAAAGCGUGGGGAGCGAACAGG